rnacentral:rRNA from 1 species
AUGCAACCAUUCGGCAUUAUGUGUCGUGGCUAUAAGAAGGGAAAAGAAUCCAGUGAAAAUCCAAAUCUUAAAUCCUUCUACAUCGAUGAUGAGUGCCCUUGGCGGAGAACGAGGGGAUGCGUCGGCGGGGAACACCAUGAUCCCCAGCGCGAACCUGACCGUCGGAGCGUCUACCGUCCACAAGGGCACAUGGAGGUGGUCAAUUUCUACCAACACCCAUGUCGAUCUGCCAGAUCUGGUCAAGCAAGGGUUCCUCCCUCCUUGGAACAUGCUCAUGUGGUCACCAGCAAAGAAGACAGAGGAUGUCCUGAUGCCGGCUAG